GACGAACGCUGGCGGCGUGCUUAACACAUGCAAGCCGAACGGUGAAGCGCCUUCCUUUUUGGUGGGUGUGGAUGAGUGGCGAACGGGUGAGUAACACGUGAGUAACCUGCCCCCUUCUUCUGGAUAACCGCAUGAAAGUGUGGCUAAUACGGGAUAUUCUGGGUCUGUCGCAUGAUGGGUCUGGGAAAGAUAUUGUUUCGGUGGGGGAUGGGCUCGCGGCCUAUCAGCUUGUUGGUGGGGUGAUGGCCUACCAAGGCGGUGACGGGUAGCCGGCCUGAGAGGGUGGACGGUCACACUGGGACUGAGACACGGCCCAGACUCCUACGGGAGGCAGCAGUGGGGAAUAUUGCACAAUGGGCGCAAGCCUGAUGCAGCGACGCCGCGUGAGGGAUGGAGGCCUUCGGGUUGUGAACCUCUUUCGCCAGUGAAGCAGGCCUGCCUCGUUUGUGGGUGGGUUGACGGUAGCUGGAUAAGAAGCGCCGGCUAACUACGUG
rnacentral:rRNA from 1 species